ensembl:lncRNA
CUUGAACAGCUUCAUUGUAAUCGCUCUGGCUUCAUGUGUUUGACUAGGAAGAAGAUAUCUGUCUAUUUAUGAAGAGUGGCAAGAAAGAGCAAUAAAAGUUCAGCUUCCUCGACAGGAAAAUUACAUGAUUCAGGUACUGAAAAAUACAUCUAGAACUAUACACCAAUAUAACUUCUCAGAAAGCCUUUGAUUGCAUUGCUACCAGCUGCUACCAACUGUGCUUCAUCUCAACUCACCUUGAAAACAGUGUAUUUAACUCUCUCUGUUUCCAUAGCACUCAGCCUUUGUUAGAGACCCAGAAAGAGAGAGAUGUGAGGGCUGGAACUGAAUGAUGGAGGGUUGCUACUGUUCAGUGAGCUUGUUAGUGAAGGGAUUCUGGAACAGUCACGCAUGAAGGAGCUACAUGUACCUCCGGCCGGCUCUCUAUAAAGCAGAAUCCUUCAGACGUAGACGGUUCUUUGAGCGGUAAUCCAGUUCACAUUGUUUGUCUUCUCUGAAAGAGCGGGAUGAAAGAGAGACAAACUCUUGCAACAGUUUGUAUGCAGAGUGCUGGUGUCUUUAGGAAGCUCAGGAUAGUGAGGAUGUUUCAGACGUCAGAGCUACAGCAAACACCUGCCAUCUAUUGGACCAUGUGUUCUUCAUCAGCAGCUUUGACGCUUAUCUGUACGUGUGUGUUUGUACUUUGCCAAAAUGUUCUACACACACACACACACAAAGAACAAAAUAAAAACAAACAAAAAGUGAGCCACUGGGGGGAAAAAGUUUUAUAUGUAUUAAUCACUUUCUAUAUAUAUAUAUAUAUAUAUAUAUAUACACACACAGCCUUUCCUUCUGCCUUGAGCAGAUUUUUUUAUUGUUUAUUUUAUUUGUUUGCAUUCAAUUUGUUGUUGACUUUAAUGCCUUCCGUUUUGCGAUGCGUUUUAGCAUACAGGUGCUGGUCAUAUAAUUAGAAUCAUCAAAAAGUUUAUUUAACUAAUUCCGUUCAACAAGUGAAACAUGUAUAUUAUAUUCAUUACACAGACUGAUACAUUUUUUAAAUGUUUAUUUCUUUUAAUUUUAAGGGAUUAUAACUGACAACUAAGGAAAAUCCCAAAUUCAGUAUAUCAGAAAAUUUUAAUAUUACUUAAGACCAAUACAAAAAGAAAGGAUUUUUGGUAGUGAUGGGAAGUUCGGCUCUUUUCAGAGAGCCGGCUCUUUUGGCUCAGCUCCCAAAGAAGAGCCGGCUCUUUCGACUCCUGAACGGCUCUUAAUUUAGGAUUUUUUUGUAGGCCUUUAUGUUACCAUAACUUUGCAAAAAUUUAUGGUUUGUGUGUUGAAACCCCUUUCAUGUGCAGUGUUUUUAUGAGAAUCCUUAUAAUUGCCUAAUUUUGUGCGUUUAUUUUGUUACAAAACCAUUCUGUUGUUUGUUUUUAAUAUUUUAAUCAAACAUUUUAUUGCACAAAUUAACAACAAAACAGCAAAUAAAUCCACAGAACAGAACUAGAACCA